CCCUUAGAUGUUCUGGGCGGCCCGCGCACUACAAUGGCGUGUGCAGCGAGUGCCGAAGUAGAGUUUUCCGAGGUAUUCUUGCAAUGCUCGUUUUGAUGGGGAUAGACCCUUGCAACUGUUGGUUUUGAACGAGGAAUUCCUUGUAAGCAUGGUUUAUCAUCCGACGCUGAAUGCGUCCCUGCCCUUUGUACACACCGCCCGUCGCUCCUACCGAUGAGUCGUCCGGUGAAGUUCGUAGACCUCGUGAUCGCGGAUCACUGGGGGAAGCAAAAUGAACCUCGCGGUUUAGAGGAAGGAGAAGUCGUAACAA
rnacentral:rRNA from 1 species